GACGAACCGUACGAACGUUAUUCGGAAUUACUGGGCUUAAAGGGUGCGUAGGCUGUGCGGAAAGUUGGGUGUGAAAUCCUCCAGCUCAACUGGGGAACUGCGCUCAAAACUACCGUGCUCGAGGGAGACAGAGGUGAGCGGAACUUAGGGUGGAGCGGUGAAAUGCGUUGAUAUCCUAAGGAACACCGGUGGCGAAAGCGGCUCACUGGGUCUCUUCUGACGCUGAGGCACGAAAGCUAGGGGAGCAAACGGGAUUAGAUACCCCGGUAGUCCUAGCUGUAAACUCUGAGCACUGGAUCGAAGGGUCCUCCAUAGCCUUUCGGUCGUAGCGAAAGUGGUAAGUGCUCCGCCUGGGGAGUAUGGUCGCAAGGCUGAA
rnacentral:rRNA from 1 species